rnacentral:rRNA from 1 species
UGGGGAAUUUUGCACAAUGGGGGAAACCCUGAUGCAGCGACGCCGCGUGAUUUAGAAGGCCUUCGGGUUGCAAAAAUCUUUUCUAUGGGAAGAAAAUGACAGUACCAUAGGAAUAAGGACCGGCUAAUUACGUGCCAGCAGCCGCGGUAAUACGUAAGGUCCGAGCGUUGUCCGGAAUCAUUUGGCGUAAAGGGUACGUAGGCGGGUAAGCCAGUUAGAAGUGAAAUCCUAUAGCUCAACUAUAGUAAGCUUUUAAAACUGCUCAUCUUGAGGUAUGGAAGGGAAAGUGGAAUUCCUAGUGUAGCGGUGAAAUGCGCAGAUAUUAGGAGGAGUACCGGUGGCGAAGGCGACUUUCUGGCCAUAACCUGACGCUGAGGUACGAAAGCGUAGGUAGCAGACAGG